ACACCUGCGUAUGUUGCACCGGAGGCUGUAUACAUUACCAAACGUACGAUGAGUGCAAAUUCUGUGGUAAACCAGAAUUCCAAUCUCACGUGGCACUUUUUGGUUGAUUCUGGCUUCAAUUAUCUUCUCCGGCUCCAUUUUUGUGAAACUGAAAAAGAGAUCACUCAUAAAGGUCAAAGAGUGUUUUCCAUAUUUAUAAAUAACAUGACAGCUGAAGCACAAGCAGAUGUGAUCCACUGGAGUGGUGGUAAUAGCAUACCAGUCUACAAAGAUUACGUGAUUUGGGUCCCAGGAGGAGGAAGCCAAAGCAACCAGGACUUAUGGCUCGCUUUACACCCCACUGCCGGUCAUUCAACUUAUGCUAAUGCAAUCUUGAAUGGUCUAGAGAUAUUCAAGCUGAACAACUC
rnacentral:lncRNA from 1 species